AUGCCCCACAGGCCAAUUUGGUGGGAGCAUUUCCUCAGCUGAGUUUCCUUCAUCCCAAAUGACUCUAUCUUGUGUCAACUUGACAUAAAACUAGCCCAGUACAAUGCUGAACAUGUAAUUUUUAUUCUAAGACUUUAUAGUUUCAAGCCUUAUUUUUAAUUAUCUUUUCUACUUUGAGUUGAUUGUGCGUGUGUGUGUGUAUGUGUGGUGUAAGAUUUGUAUGCUGUAAGAUAAAUGUUCGAUUUUACUGUUUUCCAUGUGGAUAAUAUGGUCAUUUUCCCCCCACCAUCAUUUGUUGAAGAGACUACUGUUUCCUCAUUGUGUUUUCCUGGUACUGUUGUUGAAGAGAAGUUAAGUUUAUUUAUUUUUACAUUUAUUUCCAAGGUCUUUAUUUUGUCCCAUUGGUCUAUACAUCAGUCUUUACUAUAGUUCGAUACCAUUUAAAUUACUGUUGUUUUAUAAUAUAUGUUGAAAUUGGGGACUGUGUUAUCUUUAGCUUUGUUCUCAAGAUUGUCUUUUUUGAGGUCGUGCAAAUUUUAUAAUUUCUGUGUGUUUAUAUAAGCAUAUUAUUGGGGUUUUGAUUUUGUCUCGACUCUAAAUAUUUUGGUAAUGUGGAAAUUUUAAGAGUUAACUUACAAUUGUGAACAUCUGCUGUGUCUUCUUCUGUCUCUUUGUCAGUGUUCUAGAGUUUUCAGUGUGUAGGUCUUCUACUUCAGGGUUAGGUCCAUCCUGCCUCAUUCUUUUUCAUGUUGUUAUAGAGGAUUUGCUCUCAUAAUAUUUGACCCUUUUCAGAUGGUUGUGUAACUCGUAUAUAGAAAUGCAACUGUUGCCUGUUCAUCUUGCUUGAUGGAAUGUUUCCAGAUUAAUUUCUAGUUCUCAGUUCUAACAGUUAUGGGGUGUUUGUCACUCUCUCUCCACAAAGGAUCAUUUCAUAUUCAAAGGGGACAGUUUCACCUUUUCCAGUGUGGAUACCUUCCCCUCCUUGUUUAAUUGUUUUUAGUGCAGUUUUCAGUACUGUGUAGACAGAUACAUAAAGAGAAGUCCUUGACUGAUCCUGAUAUCAAUAAAAAUGUGUGUUUUUCACUACUGGUUUUGUUAGCUAUGGGCUUUCAUAUAUGGCACAUAUUGUGUUCAGGUAAUUUCCUUCUGUUUUUGUUGAAAAUGGAUUUUUUUUUUUCGGUCUUAAAAAGGGAAUUGAAAUUCAUUGUAUGCUUUUUCUAGGUUUAUUGAUCCAAUUAUGUAACUGUUAUCUUCUUUCAUUCAUUUGAUGAUAUAGCCACUAAAUUAUUUUUUCUUGUAUCCCAAAGAUAAAUCCUAAUUUCGAAGUGAAUGUGCUUUUUUCAUGCACUAUUGAGUUUGGUUUGAUAGUGUUUGUGUAAAGACUUUUUUCCUUUUACAAUUUUUAUUACAUUUAUUUAUUUAUUUUGGUGUCAUUUUUCCUAAAGUUGUCAAAAGCACUUGCUUUAUUACUGCCUUAGCACAUUCCCUGCUGACUUAGGUAUGGAUAUAUUCUGAAUAUUCAUAGUCUGAAUGAAUGGCUUUGUUUUCCUAAGUGACCCACUAAGAUACCGCUAGUACAUUAAGAGGGAAAAUACAUCUCUUUCUCACGUAUUUUGAGGCCAGCUUGGUCUGUCUAUAGAGCAAGUUCCAGGAUAGCUAGGGCUACAUAGAGAAACUCUGUCUCAAAAAACAAACAAACAAACAAACAAACAGAAAACCCACAAGUGUUCCAAUAUUUUUCUUUUAAAAAAAAUCAAGAUUUAUUGAAACUAUGUAAUCUGGGCUGGGCAGUGGUGGCGCACGCCUUUAAUCCCAGCACUUGGGAGACAGAGGCAGGUGGAUCCUCUGUGAGUUCGAGGCCAGCCUGGUAUGGAACUACAGAGUGAGUUCCAGGAAAGGCGCCAAAGCUACACAGAGAAACCCUGUCUCAAACAACAACAACAACAACAACAACAACAACAAAAAAAAAAACCAACUAUGUAAUCUUCAGACAUUGGAG